AUGCUCUCCGUCAAAAGUGCUUAUAAACUGGCUUAUAACCUCACUGUUGAGAGUCCUGUGCAGGAGGGUGCGAGUAGAGCAGGUGACUGUUCUAGACCUAUUUGGCGUAAUAUUCGGUCUGCCCCUAUGCCUAAUAAAGUUCAUGCUUUCGUCUGGCGCUUAGCUGCUGAUAACUUGGCUACGAAGAGAAACAAACUGAAACAUACCCUGGAGGUUAAUAGUCCAUGCUCUAUAUGUGGUGUUGCAGAAGAAGAUAGUUUUCAUGCAGUGGUUAACUGUACAAAGGCAAGAGCUCUUCGUAUGGAAGUUAAAAAGGUGUGGGAUAUUCCUGAAGAAUCUCAGUUUGCUUAUACAGGAAAAGAUUGCUGCUGA
rnacentral:rRNA from 1 species